AGCGGCGGAUGGGUGAGUAACACGUGGGGAACCCGCCCCUAAGUCUGGGAUACCAUUUGGAAACAGGUGCUAAUACCGGAUAAUAAAGCAGAUCGCAUGAUCAGCUUUUGAAAGGCGGCGUAAGCUGUCGCUAAGGGAUGGCCCCGCGGUGCAUUAGCUAGUUGGUAAGGUAACGGCUUACCAAGGCGACGAUGCAUAGCCGAGUUGAGAGACUGAUCGGCCACAUUGGGACUGAGACACGGCCCAAACUCCUACGGGAGGCAGCAGUAGGGAAUCUUCCACAAUGGACGCAAGUCUGAUGGAGCAACGCCGCGUGAGUGAAGAAGGUUUUCGGAUCGUAAAGCUCUGUUGUUGGUGAAGAAGGAUAGAGGUAGUAACUGGCCUUUAUUUGACGGUAAUCAACCACAAAGUCACGGCUAACUACGUGCCAGCAGCCGCGGUAAUACGUAGGUGGCAAGCGUUGUCCGGAUUUAUUGGGCGUAAAGCGAGCGCAGGCGGAAAAAUAAGUCUAAUGUGAAAGCCCUCGGCUUAACCGAGGAACUGCAUCGGAAACUGUUUUUCUUGAGUGCAGAAGAGGAGAGUGGAACUCCAUGUGUAGCGGUGGAAUGCGUAGAUAUAUGGAAGAACACCAGUGGCGAAGGCGGCUCUCUGGUCUGCAACUGACGCUGAGGCUCGAAAGCAUGGGUAGCGAACAGGAUUAGAUACCCUGGUAGUCCAUGCCGUAUACGAUGAGUGCUAAGUG
rnacentral:rRNA from 1 species